rnacentral:rRNA from 1 species
AGUGGAUGGGGAGCAACCUAGUUGUGCGUGUGUAAAGGUAGUGCCAAGAAAAGCGAUGAUCAUGUUGAAAAUCAAUUCCCGGUACCCGAAACCGACACAGGUGGGCAAGUAGAGAAUACUAAGGGGCGCGAGGUAACUCUCUCCAAGGAACUCGGCAAAAUGACCCCGUAACUUAGGGAGAAGGGGUGCCACCGAGAGGUGGUCGCAGUGAAGAGGCCCAGGCGACUGUUUAGCAAAAACAUAGGUCUCUGCAAACUCGAAAGAGGAGGUAUAGGGGCUGACGCCUGCCCAGUGCCGGAAGGUUAAAGAAGUUGGUCAGUUUUAGGAUGAAGCUAGCGACUGAAGCCCCGGUGAACGGCGGCCGUAACUAUAACGGUCCUAAGGUAGCGAAAUUCCUUGUCGGGUAAGUUCCGACCCGCACGAAAGGCGUAACGAUCUGGGCGCUGUCUCGGAGAGAGGCUCGGCGAAAUAGGAUUGUCUGUGAAGAUACGGACUACCUGCAUUUGGACAGAAAGACCCUAUGAAGCUUUACUAUAGCUUGGAAUUGUGUUCGGGCUUCCUGUGCGCAGGAUAGGUGGGAGGCGUAGAAGGUAUUCUUGUGGGGAUACUGGAGCCAACGGUGAGAUACCACUCUCAGGAGGCUAGAAUUCUAACUUAAUUAAGGACAGUUUCAGGUGGGUAGUUUGACUGGGGCGGUCGCCUCCAAAAAGGUAACGGAGGCGUACAAAGGUUCCCUCAGACUGGUUGGAAAUCAGUCGAAGAGUGCAAAGGCAGAAGGGAGCUUGACUGCGAGAAGUACAGUUCGAGCAGGGUGGAAACACGGUCUUAGUGAUCCGACGGUGCUGUGUGGAAGGGCCGUCGCUCAACGGAUAAAAGUUACUCUAGGAUAACAGGCUGAUCUCCCCCAAGAGUUCACAUCGACGGGGAGGUUUGGCACCUCGAUGUCGGCUCAUCGCAACCUGGGGCGGAAGUACGUCCCAAGGGUUGGGCUGUUCGCCCAUUAAAGCGGUACGUGAGCUGGGUUCAGAACGUCGUGAGACAGUUCGGUCCAUAUCCGAUGUAGGCGUGAGAAUAUUGAGAGGAGCCUUCCUUAGUACGAGAGGACCGGGAAGGACGCACCGCUGGUGUACCUGUUAUGAUGCCAAUUGUAAACGCAGGGUAGCCAAGUGCGGAGAGGAUAACCGCUGAAAGCAUCUAAGUGGGAAGCCCACCUCAAGAUGAGUAUUCUGGUGUAAGGUCACGUAAGACGACCCGUAAAUAGGCACGAGGUGGAAGUGCAGAGAUGUAUGAAGCCGAAGUGUACUAAUAGACCGUCGGCUUGACC